GACAGGAGAAUUUAGCUGGGUGUGGUGGCUCAAACCUGUAAUCCCAGCACUUUGGAAGGCCACGAUGGGCAGAUCAUUGGAAGUCAGUAGUUAGAGACCAGCCUGGUCAACAUGGUGAAAUACUGUCUCUACUAAAAAUACAAAAAUUAGACGUG